rnacentral:rRNA from 1 species
CCUACGGGUGGCAGCAGCUAAGAAUAUUCCGCAAUGGACGAAAGUCUGACGGAGCGACGCCGCGUGGAUGAAGAAGGCCGAAAGGUUGUAAAAUUCUUUUGCUGGGGAAGAAUAAGUCUGGGAGGGAAUGCCCGGAUGAUGACAUGAACCGGCGAAUAAGCCCCGGCUAACUACGUGCCAGCAGCCGCGGUAACACGUAGGGGGCGAGCGUUGUUCGGAGGGCCUGGGGGUAAAGGGCUAGUACGCGGGUGAAAGUCUGCAGCUUAACUGCGGGAAUGCGUUGGGAACUGCGAAGCUUGAGUUACGGAGAGGGAGCUAGAAUUCCUGGUGUAGGGGUGAAAUCUGUAGAGAUCAGGAAGAAUACCAAUGGCGAAGGCAAGCUUCUGGCCGAUGACUGACGCUGAGGUGCGAAAGUGUGGGGAUCAAACAGGAUUAGAUACCCCAGUAGUC